GGAGAGGUACCGAAGUGGUCAUAACGGGGCGGUCUUGAAAACCGUUGGGGCGUCAAGCCCACGUGGGUUCGAAUCCCACCCUCUCCG
rnacentral:tRNA from 1 species